rnacentral:rRNA from 1 species
CAGCAGCCGCGGGAAUACGGAGGGUGCGAGCGUUAAUCGGAAUUACUGGGCGUAAAGAGUGCGUAGGUGGUUAAUUAAGUUAUCUGUGAAAUUCCUGGGCUUAACCUGGGCAGGUCAGAUAAUACUGGUUAGCUCGAGUAUGGGAGAGGGCAGUGGAAUUUCCGGUGUAGCGGUGAAAUGCGUAGAGAUCGGAAGGAGCACCAGUGGCGAAGGCGGCAACCUGGCCUAAUACUGACACUGAGGCACGAAAGCGUGGGGAGCAAACAGGAUUAGAUACCCGUGUAGUCCCUGUCUCUUAUAC